rnacentral:rRNA from 1 species
AGUGAACGCUGGCGGUAGGCCUAACACAUGCAAGUCGAACGGCAGCACAGUAAGAGCUUGCUCUUACGGGUGGCGAGUGGCGGACGGGUGAGGAAUACAUCGGAAUCUACUUUUUCGUGGGGGAUAACGUAGGGAAACUUACGCUAAUACCGCAUACGACCUACGGGUGAAAGCAGCGGAUCUUCGGACCUUGCUCGAUUGAAUGAGCCGAUGUCGGAUUAGCUAGUUGGCGGGGUAAAGGCCCACCAAGGCGACGAUCCGUAGCUGGUCUGAGAGGAUGAUCAGCCAAACGGGAACUGAGACACAGUCCAGACGCCUAAGGGAGGAAGCAGUGGGGAAUAUUGGACGAUGGGCGCAAGCCUGAUACAGCCAUACCGCGUGGGUGAAGAAGGCCUUCGGGUUGGAAAGCCCUUUUGUUGGGAAAGAAAAGCAGCAGGUUAAUACGGCGCUGUUCUGACGGUACCCAAAGAAAAAGCACCGGCUAACUACGUG